AAGAGGCUCCUCCCCGGGGCAGCCCGACUCAGAAAAACCGUCCGAGAAUUAGGCCGAUCUAUUCACAGCCUGGCUAAGCUUGUUCUAGCUUUUCUGGGCUGCAGGCCUUUUCUCGCGGGCUGGUGGUGUUUGGUGCUGCUCUGCGGAAGUGUAGCCCCACCAAAGGGCAAGCAGGCCUGUGCAGGGAGAGCCCCUGCGGUGGUAGGCUUCAGGCAAUUGUUGAGGUCAGCCCUCCUGGAUGGCAGGCAGCCCCAGGUCUGUGAGAGCAUAGGGUGUGGCGGGGGUGGGGGGAGGGGAUGCACUGGGAAGCACAGCUUUCAGCUAGCUAGCGGGCCUGUAAGCUUGCUGUGGCGUGGGGGGUAUUCUAUGGGGACCCACCCCUUCUUUUCUCCCCUCCCCAGCACGGGCGCAGAUCAGGCUCUUCUCCCAGGUUCCCUCUGAUGUGGCUUUCCACUUCCCCGCCCCUGGAGUAUUGCUCCCUUCGUCUGCGACAGCUUUUCUAGUCUCCCAGGCAGUCUCUGCCCUGUCAAAUGGUUUCUAGACCUCCCAAGCAGUUUCCGCUCUGCCCUGUCCCCCUAGCCCGGGGACUAAUCUCUGGAGCCGAGGUCUCGGUGCCCAGCCCCCACCCAGGCGUCCCCCGGCCCUUUCUCAGGGAUUAACCUUCAGAGGCGAGGUCUUGGUGCCCAGCCCCCACCCAGGCGUCCCCCGGCCCUUUCCUGGGGACUAACCUUCGGAGCCGAGGAUUCGGUGCCCAGCCCCCACCCAGGCGUCUCAAUUUUUGGUGACUGUGCCCGUAGUUCAGAUGGUCCUUUGGGUUCUUGAUCGGCUUUUCCGUACUCCAACUUACUGCUACACUCUUCUCUGCAUCUGGGGAUUCCUCCGGUUUGUUUGAUCUUUCCCCCGGUAGGUGACUUUCCAGGGUGCCGGAUCCCUUUCUCCUCCGCAGUUCCCUUUCGGGAGCACCCGUCCCGCUCGGAUUCACCUUCUCUCACUCUCCUCUUUUCUCCCAUUCUGCCCAAAAAUGUCACGAAUUUCUUGCCAUUAUUGGAGUUUAGGUUCCUCUGCCAGCGAUUGGUUGCUGUUCUGUGUGAGUCAUUUAUUCUGUAGAUGUGCUUUUUUUGUUGUGUUUGUGGGAGAGGGCGAGCGUGUCCUCCUACUUCUCCGCCAUCUUGUCCUCCCUCUGUAUAGACUUUUGAAAUAGUGUUUACUGGGAGGAAAAAUAGUGGAUGCUAGAUCAUAUCUAAAAAGAACUUCUAACAUUUCUUCUUUACCCUAUUAUCAGCUAAAGAUCUUUGGAGACACUGCUUAUGAGAUUAAGAAAAUCCCCUUUUAUUCCUAGUUUACCAUUAGUUUUAUUUUAAUGAAUGAAUCUUCAAUUUUAUUGAAAGUAUUUUUCUUCUGUGUCUAUUGAGCAGAUCAUGUGACUUUUCCUCCAUUCUAUAAUGUGAUGAAUUCUAAUUUAAGUUAUAAUUUUUGUCUCGGGAUGUGUGAUUGAUCUGUACUUAACAUGUUACAAAAUUUUACUUUUAAAUUUAUGCUUGUCUCAUAAAAAAUUGGAAAAUAUUCCAUUUUUUAGUUAAAUUAACCCAUUUGAGACUGAAAGUUUUUUUUUUAUGUGUUUAAUGUAUAAAGCAAGGUAACCAUAUAUUCAAUUUCAUUAGAAGUUAUUCACUUUUUCUAAUUUUAUGGUAGUUUUAGCAGUUUUAGUUUACUAAGAAUUGGUAUACUUCCUCAACAUUUUCCCACAGUGAUAAAGUUGUUCAUAAUAUCCACUUGUUACCCUUUUAUAAUCUCUACAUUUGUAGUAAUGUUCUCUUUUUGUAUCUAAGCUAUUUGUGUUUUCUUCUUUAAAAAAGUUAACCAACUACAUAUCUUUUUAACUGACGUAUAGUUGGUAUAUGAUUCUAUAUAAGUUAUAGGUGUGCAUUAUUGUGGUUCACAAUUUUUAAAGUUUAUACUCAAUUUAUAGUUAUUAUAAAAUAUUAGCUAUAUUUCCUUUAUUGUGCAAUAUAUAAUAGUAGCUUAUUUUAUACAAAAUAGUUUGAACCUCUUAAUCUGCUACCCCUAUAUUUUCCCUUCUCCUUCCCGCUCCCCACUGAUAACCAUGUUUGUUCUCUGUAUCGUUGAAUUUGUUUCUUUUUUGUUAUAUUCACUAAUUUGUUAUUUAUAUUUUUUAGAUUUCACAUAGAAAGGGUAUCAUACAAUAUUUGUCUUUAUGUCUAAUUUAUUUCACUUAAUAUAAUACCCUCUAAGUCCAUCCAUGUUCUUACAAAUGGAAACGUUUUCAUUAUUUGUAUGGCUGGGUAGCAUUCCAUUGUGUGUGUGUGUGUGUGUGUGUGUGUGUGUGUGUGUGUGUGUGUGUGUGUGUGCGCGCAUGCACAUGCUCAUAUAUACCAUAUCAUUUUUAUCCAUUCACCUGUUGAUGGACACGUGGGUUGCUUCAAUAUCCUGGUCAUUAUAAAUAACACUACUAUGAAUGUUAGGGUGCUGGGAAAACUAGACAGCUAUAUGUAAACAAAUGAAAUCAGAACAUUCUCUAAUACAUAUAUAAAAAUAGACUCAAAAUGGAUUAAAGACCUAAACGUAAGACAGGAAACCAUAAAACCACUAGAGGAAAACAUAGGCAGAACACUUCUCAGCAUAAAUCAUAGCAGUAUUUUUUGGAUAUAUCUCCUAAAACAAAGGAAAUAAAAGCAAAAAUAAACAAAUGAGACUUACUUACUAAAGUCAAAAAAUUUUUUGACACAAAGGAAGUCAUCAACAAAAUAAAAAAUGCAGCCUACUGAAUGGGAGGAGAUAUUUGCAAAUGAUAUGACCAGUAAAGGGUUAAUACCCAAAAUAUAUAAACUGCUCACAACUUAACAUCAAAAAAUCCAACCCAAUUAAAAAACAGACAGAAGAUCUGAAGAGACAUUUUCCCAAAGAGGACAUGUAGAUGGCCAACAGGCACCUAAAAAAAUGUUCGAUUUUGCUAAUCACCAGGGAAAUGCAAAAAAAACCACAGUGAGAAAUCACCUCACACCUGCCAGAGUAACUAUCAUCAAAAAUAACACAAAUAUCAAAUGGUGGUGAUGACAUGGAGAAAAGGGAACCCUUGUACACUGUUGGUAGGAAUGUAAAUUGGUGCAGCGACUGUGGAAAACAGUACAAAGGUUCCUCAAAAACUAAAAGAAGAGCUACCAUAUAACAUAGCAAUUACACUUCUGGGUAUAUAGCUCUCAUUUUUCUUAAUUGGUCUUGCCAAGGGUUUACCAAGUGUAUUUUUUUGAAUACUCUGAUCUGCCAAUCCUCUCCUUUGCUUUAUCAUGCUAUUAAUUUCUACCUUUUUCUAUAUUAUGUCCUCCAUUUAACUUUUUUUAAAUAUACUAUAGUUUAUUAUUCAUUUUCUAAAUUCUUUAGGAUACUUAGUUAUAGAUUUUUCAGGCUUUUCCCCCUUUAAUAUAUACUUGUAAGUCUAUAAAGGAUCCCUCUAAGCAUGACUUUUCUUUGAUUACACAAAUUUUGAUUUCUAGUAUUAUCCUUCAGUGUAAAAUAUCUUCUAAUUUCUAUUGUGAUUCAUUAUUUGAUCUAGGGCCAUAACGCUUCUAGUUUAUAAGAUAUAACAGUUUGGAGAGUAUCAGAAAGUUUCGAGACUUUCAGAAAGUUUCCAAACACUAUUUCUGUAAAUAUGGCUUUGGCCAUCUUCCUUUUCUCCUCUCCUUUUGAGACUCCAAUUACAUACACACAAGCACAUGCACACAUAUCCAAAUGGACAGAUAAAAAUAUAUGAGAACUUUAUACUAUAGUCUCAAUUUGUCACAUAUAUUUUUGUGUUUUUCAUCUUUUUAAACUUUUGACUUCAUUUUGAAUCAUGCAUUUAUUCUUAUAUCACCUAUGUCUAUUGGUUGAUAAAUUCAACUUCUAAAUAUUAAUACGUUUUUAUUGUUUCACAUUUUCAUGUACUUCCUAACAGUUUUUAGUUAUUUGCCAAAAUUUUUAGUCUUGAUUUUGUACUCUCUUUGAAUAUAGUACAGUCAGUGUCAAAAUGUCCAAUAUCUAAAGGCCCUUUUCCUUUGUUACUACUUGUUAUUGUUCAGAUUGUUUUAUCUACUUAUCUGUCUUGUCAUUUUUUGUUACAUCUCAGACAUUAUGUUUGAAAAAUUAUUUGUUGAAAUAAUGUAAGGAUGGAGAUGAUGUUAUCUUCCUCCAGAGAGGACUCACACUUGUAACUGACAGGCUCUUGGGGACCAUAAUAUUCUGAGAUCUCCUCAGCUGAAUUUCAAGCAAAUAAACCAUUUGAUGCUAGACUGCAGUCUCUGUGAGGGCUUGCUUAUUUGUCACUGAGACUUACUUUCGUGGUGAAGCUCUUUGGAAUUCCACCUCAAAGCAAAGGUAUUAUCAGGCCCUGAAUUCCAACUUUGUGCCUAUCUACACACGAACCCCUCAAAAAUAUCACAUGAUAUCACUCAUAUGUGGAAUCUUUUAAAAAUGAUACAAAUUAAUUUAUUUACAAAACAGAAACAGACUCACAAACAUAUAAAACAAACUUAUGGGAGUUUCCAACAUGGCUCAGCAUAAACAAAUCUGACUAGCAUCCAUGAGGAUGCAGGUUGGAUCCCUGGCCUAGCUCAGUGGGUUAAGGUUGCAGACAUGGCUCAGAUCUGGCAUUGCUGUGGCAGUAGCAUAGGCCAGUGGCUAAAGUUCCAAUCCAACCCCUAGCCUGGAAAUCUCCAUAUGUCGCAGGUGUUGCCCUGAAAAAAAAAAGACACAAAACAAAAAACAAACCUAUAUUUACCAAAGGGGGAUGGGUAGGUAUGGAUAUAUUUGGAGUUUGGGAUUAACAGAUACACUACUAUAACAACAGAGACCAACUGUAUAUCACAGAGAACUAUAUUCAUAAUUAUCAUAAUAACCUAUAUAGCAAAAACAUCUGAAAAGAUUGUGUGUGUGUAUAUAUGUGCGUGUGUGUGUAUAACUGAAUAUAUAUAAUACACAUUUAUAUAUAACUGAAUCACUUUGUUGUAUACCUGAAACUCAAACUUUGUUGUAUACCUGUAAAUCAACUAUACUUCAGUUAAAAGUGAAAUAAAAUAAAAACAAUUUCCUAUCCAUUCCUAUCCAUUCCAUAUCCAUUCUUUCUUUUUUUUUUUUUUGCCUUUUUAGGGCCACACCCAUGGCAUGUGGAGGUUCCUAGGCAUGGGGUCUAAUUGUACCUACAGUUGCAGACCUACACCACAGCCACAGCAAUGCUAGAUCUGAGCCGCAUCUGCAACCUACACCACAGCUCAUGGCAAUACCAGAUCCUUAACCCACUGAGAGGGGCCAGGAAUCAAAUUGCAUCCACAUGGAUACUAGUCAGGUUCAUUACUACUAAGCUACUAUGAACUCCUGAAGUAUACUCUUCUUAUAGCUACUGGUUAAACGCACAAUAUUGGUGCUAUAGGUAAUACAAACAAUAGUCCUAGAACAGUGUCUAUUGGGAGAAAACUCAGGGAGAUAGCCACGGGUUUCCUAUAGCCCACU
rnacentral:lncRNA from 1 species